ensembl:lincRNA
CGCCCUGUUUAUCAGCCAGCCCCAGGCCCGUCACCCUGGGGACUCUGUAAUUUUCCACCCUCUUGAACAGCGCCCCCUCCCCCAUCUAAAAUACCCCAUGUCAAGCGUGCACACACCUCCUCUCAGUGCCAACAGCCUUCUGGCCCUUGGCCCAUCUGCACCCAGAGGGCGAUAAACUCUUCGCAUGUUGCUUAGACUUUGCCUGCCUCAGUGGUCUCAAUCGUGCCUCAGUCAGACCUUACAGCUUUGAUGAAGAAGGAGAUGAGGGUGGUAAUGGUGAUGGAUGAUUACAGUUGUGAUGAUGAGGAAGAAGACCACGGCGGGUGGUGGUGCGGUGACCAUGGUGAUGGUUGUGAUAUUGAAGAAGGUGGUGCUGGUGAUGGUGGAUCGGGAUGGGGAUGAAGUGAUGGCGGUGACGAUGAGGAAGGGGAUGAUGGUGGACAGUGGUGAGGAUGAUGGUGGUGGGGUGACGAUGGUGAAGGUGAGGUCACAAUGACACAAAGCCCCAGCAGGGGUUGGCUCCUUCCUGCACAGUGAUUUAAGCUCAUUCCCUUCUGGCUUAUUCCUUGAGUUGUCUCUGGGUGACCACACAAUUUAUCAUCAAAGCGGAACCCUUAAUGCCUGUCGGGGGAGGUAUGCGAGUAACCCUCACUCAUAUUGAUGGCUCCACCACCAUGAAACAAGCUGGCGAAGGAAGCCGCCCUUCCCAGAGUCUGGAGACAGAAGAACGCUGAGCUGAGCCUCGAACAUUGCAGCCUGGUGUUAAAUUUGCAUCUCAAAUGUGCAGGAAAAGGACUUGACCAGGAAUGCAGAAGGCCAUACCUCUCGCCCUCUGGACUAUUGGACCUUCCAUGUGGUUGACUGUUUUGAUACAGGACCGCCCCGAUGUGUGGUGGCAGUGGCACCAUCCCUGGUCUUCUGUGUCCGUCAGUGCUCAGAGGCCCCACUGCUCCCAGGCCCUCUGUCUCCUGUCUGGGAAGAUGUGCCUUCCACGGAGGAGAGUGGGGACUCCCAGGGUAGCUUCUCCUCUCUGCCCUCAAACUUCUGGAUUAGACCUUCUGUGGAGUGGAACUGAGGGUCUUGAAGAGCUGCAAUCAAAAACUUGGUGAAGGUGGUCACCGCCCUUCAUCCGAUGGAAAGGCAGCUCGGAAAAGCGUUGCGUCCUCGUCCACCCUAAUCUCCAACUCUGGCAUCGUGCGGCUUACCCCAAGUCAAAACGGGCCCCCCGAAAGCAAAUGUUUUGAGAUGCUGGAGGACAUCGAGGCAGCUAGGACAGCACAGCUGAAGACAGCCGUGAAAGAGGACUCCAGAGCUGCUUUGGGAAAGCGGUGAGAACAAUUCGGUGAGUGAGUCUGAAGUGAGGGGGAGGAUUUUGACAAGGACUAUGGCAAUAUGCCUUUACUGUCAUAAAUUUUUAAAAAUUAGGCGGUCACCCAAUGUCUCAAUCAGCUCUGUACACCACUAUCUUUUUCAUGUAAAAUAUGAUACACAUUUUCUGUAUCAUUAAAAAUGUUCAGAUAUCACAGUAUGACUUCACUAUGUUCCACCCUUUGGCCAUACUAUAGCUUAUUUGGUUGGUCCCCUGCUGUUGAACAUUUAUGCAGAUUUAAAUGUGCUGCUGUUAUAAAAAUAAUGCUGGGGUGAAUCUUUGUCAGCUUUGUUCACUCGGACACAUUUCCUGAGUUCCCACAGACACCCUUCCCCGUCUGAGGUACAUCAGAUGCAACAAAGACUAGGGCAAACCCAUACCUCUGUGGAGUUGAUAGCCUAGGAGAGGAGAUGAGGCAUAAAUAAGUGAGCCAAGGAUGUGGUGUCAGAUGGCAAGUGGGUGAAAAGAUAACAGAAACAGAGUGAGCCUGGCAGAGAGGCUGCUUGGGGGUCUGCUGAGAAGGCCUGGAAGGAAGUGGGGUGAGGCCAGACACCUUCGUGGUGGGAAGGUGCCCUCCAUGGCAUGCCAGGCAGAGGAAGAGGUAGAUGAAGACCCAGCGAGUUGCGGUGGUGGAAUCCUCUUCUGCAAUCCUCUGGAUCACAAGCUGAUCCCAGCCUGAGUGACUGAGUGACUUAGGCAGGCCCCAUCUCAAAAUGCAAAAUAAGGGCUGAGAAUGUAGCUCAGGGCAAGGGCCCUGGGUUCAAUCCCUACCUAGUGCUGAAGGAAAACAUGGCGCUAAGGGGGAAAGUAGCAUGACAGACCAGAAGGACUUCAAAAAGACCAGUGUGGCUGCAAAGAAGUUAAAGUUGGAUGCAGCAUGCAUGGAAGCAAGUGGGUCCCACCUCCAUUGAGAACAGCAGGACAACUCCAGUGCCAGAUGGAACCAGACAAAGCCAUCACCGGAAAUGAAACCACAGACCAAUGUCCCUUAUGAACAUAAAUACCAAAUUCCUCGGCAAAACUGGAUUCUGCACCUGGACCACAUGGAAUGUGUCUCAAGAGAGCGAGGUUGAUUUUGCACUCAAAAGCCAAUCAAGGAUCCUCAGGCCCUCAGCAGGUUCACUCUGCUUUGGUCCAAAUGAAUCCCCCUAUGGGUUAUCCUGGGUGGAAAGUUUACUCUGUGCACCGAUUGGGUUCUUGUGGCAACAGCGUGACAAACCAGGUCCCAGUAUUGCAAUUGCUUAGGCCCCUCAGGCAUGGAUAGUUCAGAUGGUGAGGAGCGGUCCAGGUUUAACUUUAGGAGCUCUCUGACCCCUUAAACUAGUCAGGGUUAAACUGUCCAUGCUCUAUGUAUCCAAGCUGCCCCCAAAGAACUCCAAGCUGUUUCACAGAAAUGGAUCUUCAACACUUCUCUGGGAGUUGUCAGGGAACUGCCAUGAGCUCUCAGGGGACACUCUGUCCUUUGUAAAAGUUUAACAGGCAGGAACUUGCUACCUGAAGGAAAAGGAGGACAGAACAAGUGUUAGGAAGGAGGUUCUAAUGAGGAUGCAGACCUGUGGGUGGAGGGAGGGGAUGAGGGCCUACCAAAAGUCUAUUAUUCCCUCUUUAAGCCCAGAGUCUGGCCAUACGGAGCCAAUAGAGAGCCUGGAUUGAUGGAUCGAUGCCUGCUGGCACCUGGGCAAGGUGGUCAGAAUGCCCCAUCCCACCAUGGACCUUGUAGGAGUCCAAAAAAAGCAGUCAGUACGAAGUGAAAGACUGGUGUGAUCUUUCUCGACUCCACCUCUGCUGGCCUCACCCUCAUCUUCUCUGGCCCGGUGGUGCGUACCUGUCCAGCAUUUAGCAGGAAGACUUUUGUGGGUGGUCUUGCAUAAGAACCCAAACUGUUAACCGGUCUUACACUUGGUCACCAUGUUUGAUCUUGAGGCCGGUGAGCUCAACAUGAAGAGCCAGAAUGGCCCCAUUAGCAGUUGGCUCAGCUGUGCUGCUGAGCUUCUGUUCUGGUCAGGACUGCUCUGAGAAAAGCCGUGUUGUGCCAUUUCCUCCAUCCCGAAGGUACUGGUCACCUCUGACCUGUCCUGUGCCAUUUCCUUGGGCAUUCUGUGAAGAAAAGGCUGUCUCUCCACAACCCAGCAUGAAGGUCAUCUCAGGGAAGGGACAUGGGAAGGUUCUUCAGGGCUCGUGGGCUCUAGGGCCCACUCUGUAGAUUGAUGAACAAGAUCUUAUCACCCUGACUUCAGCCAGGCCCACUUACUCCAGGGAUGAAAAGUGUGUCUUCUUC